GCUGACAGACAGCUGCUCGGCCCCUGGAAACGGAGGAUUUAGACAGCAGAUGUUCGAGAACUCAAACAGCACAGAGGGGGCGGCUCGUCCUCGCUGAUUUUCUUCACACUUUACCUGCCACCUCGGGACAGCCAUCAAUGUCAAUAUGGCGAUCCAAACCAGAGGAUCCACCUACAGUUAGCCUCGGAGUAAGGGCACGCCACUUCAGUUUGGGAGCCCCCAUAACACAUUUCUGCUGUCUACAGGCUGACUUAACACACAUUAAUCCCAGGCUGGGACAGCACAGAGGCAAUCUGCACACGAACCGAAGGAGUGGAAUGUACAGGGCAUAAAAGAGCAAGGAAACGUCCCGCAGCCCGCACAGGCAAAGGAGGGGCAGACGCAUUACUUCACUGACCAAUCAUUUACAGUGCUGGUGAUGGGAAUCCACAAUGGGAAGACAUUUAGCCAAUCCGGUCCUAGUUAAAAGUUGAGGUUUCGGAAAGAUCAUCGGCCAUCUUGUGGGUGCUCCAUGGACAACACAGGUUCAAGGAACUAUGGAAGAGCUCCUCCUACCUUCCACAUCACCAGUAGCAUCUGGGCAAUUCCUACUGAUCCACACCCGCUUCUGAGCUGAUGAACAGAGUGUAAAUGAAGACUGUAGUACCUAUGAGCACUGAGACACCGCCCAGUGAGGGCACUUAGCCCCGCCCCUUCCAGUUUGUGCAAUAUAAGAAACCCGUCUGCCUGGAAAGAGGUGUCUUUUGCAAUAAGGAGCUCCAGUGACUGCCUUAUUCUGCAGCAAAGAGACAAAUACUUUUGUUGUUUUGCCCUAAAGUCUAUGUACUUUGUGUUUUUUUUUUUUCCUUGGACUGGUUUAAUUAAAGAGGACAACCUGGUUGGUGUCCUUGUAUGUAAAGCACACAUACUGUCCUGUGCUGGAGGUGGGCUCUUGUUGUGUCCAGUCAGCGUUAGAGAUGACAUUUUCAGCUAAGCACUCGGUUUCCUUUUUUCUUCUGAUGACUUCAGGGUGAUUCACAAGUCCCCUGAUCUCACACCACAUCACAGUUAAUGCUCUUACCGCCAUUAGUCAUCGAGAGCUGCUCCAAAUCCUAUUAUUAUUCAUCGCUUUACCUGGAACCUCAUUUGAUUUUCCGUGGCUUGACAUGCACGUCACGUAUCAUUGAUCGAUUGUGAUUACAAUAUUGGGAUUUUGCUGGGAGCCUUGGUCAAAUGGAUGAAGCAGGGUUGAAUGUGUGUGUGUGUGUGUGUAUUUAGGUGCAGGUUUGAGAUUCUUUACCCAGCCGAGUCUGUGCCACCCUCUCAUACAAUGUGGUGAGCUCUGUAAAGCAAGUCUGCAUCUGCCAUCCAUAAAGCGGAUACGCCUUAAAGCCAGAUGGAUCAGUUUACCCGCCAUGGAUCAUUUCCAUUGAAGUUUCUAAUUUCGUCAUAAAACAUGAUAUACGCAAAGCUUUCUUUCUUCCCUGAAACAAUCAGCGUGCAGAGUAAGAAACACGUUAACCAACGGCAGUUAGACCCAUGAAGAAUGCAGGAUCUCUCUGUGAACUCUUACUUCACACACUUAAUGUAAGUGAAUAUGUGGACGGCCAAGACUCAAGGUCUAUUUGUGGGGUCUGCAAAAUGGGUGGGCUCACGUAACGGCCAGUUGGGCAUGUCUUGAAUGACCUGUUUGUUGCACCUUCAUUAAACUGAUAUUCCAUUAUAUCCUGUGAUAAAUUGGUCACUGGACACUGCCAGUAUAAUAAAUGGUGCGACUCAAACCACUUACACCUGAGC